ACCAGUUCAUAAACCACCAAGAUAUCCUCCUAAACCAUCACCUUGUCCACCCCCAUCAUCAACACCAAAACCACCUCAUCAUCCCAAACCCCCAGCAGUACACCCACCACAUGUUCCAAAACCACAUCCACCUUAUGUUCCAAAACCACCAAUUGUUAAACCUCCAAUAGUACAUCCACCUUACGUACCAAAACCCCCAGUUGUGAAACCACCACCAUAUGUCCCUAAACCACCUGUUGUGAGACCACCCUAUGUUCCUAAACCACCAGUUGUACCUGUAACACCACCUUAUGUUCCUAAGCCACCAAUUGUUUUCCCACCACAUGUUCCUCUACCUCCAGUUGUACCAUCACCACCACCUUAUGUACCAACACCUCCAAUUGUGAAACCACCAAUUGUUUUUCCACCACAUGUUCCUCUACCUCCAGUUGUGCCUGUAACACCACCUUAUGUGCAACCACCACCUAUUGUAACUCCACCAACACCAACACCUCCAAUUGUGACACCACCAACACCACCUAGUGAAACACCUUGUCCUCCACCAC
rnacentral:lncRNA from 1 species